ensembl:snRNA U2 U2 spliceosomal RNA
AUUGCUUCUCGGCCUUUUGGCUAAGAUCAAGUGUAGUAUUUGCACUCUUAUAUAUCGCUGUGGUUUUAUCUGCAGCGGAUUCUCCCAACUGUUAGCCCCAACUGGAGAAAAUACUUCUAAUUGAUGAAAAGCAAUUGUUGACUUAGGAAGUUUCC